GACGAACGCUGGCGGCGUGCUUAAUACAUGCAAGUCGAACGGAAAGGCCCUGCUUUUGUGGGGUUCUCGAGUGGCGAACGGGUGAGUAACACGUGAGUAACCUGCCCUUGACUUUGGGAUAACUUCAGGAAACUGGGGCUAAUACCGGAUAGGAGCUCCUGCUGCAUGGAGGGGGUUGGAAAGUUUCGGCGGGUGGGGAUGGACUCGCGGCUUAUCAGCUUGUUUGUGGGGUAGUGGCUUACCAAGGCUUUGACGGGUAGCCGGCCUGAGAAGGUGACCGGCGACAUUGGGCCUGAGGUACGGCCCAGACUGCUACGGGAGGCAGCAGUGGGGAAUAUUGCACAGUGGGCGGACGCGUGAUGAAGCAACGCCGCGUGCGGGAUGACGGCCUUCGGGUUGUGAACCGCUUUCGCAUGUGACGAAGCGUGAGUGACGGUAAUGGGUAAAGAAGCAACGGCUAACUACGUG
rnacentral:rRNA from 1 species